rnacentral:rRNA from 1 species
CACGCCCUAAACGAUGCGAACUGGACGUUGGGCACACUUAGGUGCUCAGUGUCGAAGCUAACGCGUUAAGUUCGCCGCCUGGGGAGUACGGUCGCAAGACUGAAACUCAAAGGAAUUGACGGGGGCCCGCACAAGCGGUGGAGUAUGUGGUUUAAUUCGACGCAACGCGCAAAACCUUACCUGGGUUAAAUCCACUAGAACCCACCAGAGAUGGUGGAGUGCCUUCGGGAGCUAGUGAGAAGGUGC